rnacentral:rRNA from 1 species
UACGGAGGGGGCAAGCGUUAUCCGGAUUCACUGGGUUUAAAGGGUGCGUAGGUGGAUUGGUAAGUCAGUGGUGAAAUCUCCAAGCUUAACUUGGAAACUGCCGUUGAUACUAUCAUUCUUGAAUAUCGUGGAGGUGAGCGGAAUAUGUCAUGUAGCGGUGAAAUGCUUAGAUAUGACAUAGAACACCGAUUGCGAAGGCAGCUCACUACACGAUCAUUGACACUGAGGCACGAAAGCGUGGGGAGCAAACAGG